rnacentral:lncRNA from 1 species
GUCGAGGAGAAAAUGUUCAGGUUGUUUUGGAAUACAGAACUUAGUGGUGUCAUAAAUCAUAGAUUGUAUGACUGUCCAGUUCACAGGUCAGUCCCAGAAUAUGUGACGAGGGUGCCAGGUUGAGUGGUGCAUCUCCAACAAAGGUCAGAACUUGUAGGGUAAAUAUGUAGGAGUCUCAUGGGGACCAUAUACCACCUCAUGAUCAAUUUACAGUUGAGUUCCCAAUAUGUUAU